AAACAAGAACUUAAUGAUAGGCACCAAUGUGUAACAAUGAACCUUAUAUUAUUGAAAUCUUUGAAACCAGCUGAUUUUGGGGGGGAGGCAUAUCAAAAUGACUGAGAUUUAUACAAUAAUAUCACCCACCUCCCUGCACAUCUUCUUGUGCAAUACCAGCCCCAUCCCUGAGACAGGAUGGGGAGGGUCAAAGUAAAUGGGUGUAGCCAAAUUAUUAGGCACUGUUCACCAGGGCUACCUUCAUCUCUGGCAAAGUAGAUAUUGUUGCCAUCAAUGACCACUUCUUUGAGCUCAGUUAUAUGGUCUAUGUGUUCCAUUAUAAUUCCACCCACUGCGAGUUCCAUGGGACAAUGCCAAAAAACUUGUCAUCAAUGGGAUGUUGUAGAUUCUUCUGGUAUCUUUACUACCAUGGAGCAGGCCAGGGCUCAGUUGAAGGGUGGAGUUGAAAGGAUCACUGUGUUUGCUCUUCUGCUGAUAUCGUCACAUUUGUGAUAGUUAUGGACUAUGAGAAAAAACCUGCACCAACUGUUUAGCUCCCUGGCCAAGGUCAUUCAUAACAAUUUCAGCAUUGUCAAGGUACUUAUGACCACACUACAUGCCAUCAGUGCCAUGCAGAAGAUGGUGGAUGUCUCUCUGGGGCUGUCAGAAUACCAUUCCUAUAUCUACUGGUGCUGCCAAGGCUGUGGGCAAGGUUCUUCCAGAACUGAAGUUUACUGUCAUGACCUUCGGUGUUCUCACUCCAAUAUGUAUGUCAUGAGUCUGACUUGCUGCCUGGAGAAAGCUACAUAUAGUAGCAUCAAGAAGGUGGUAAAAUAGGCAUCGGAUGGACCCCUAACAGGCAUUCUGGGCUCUAGUGAGGACCAGGUUGUCUCUUGGGACCUUAACCUAACCCAGUCUUCUACUUUGAUACUGAGGCUGGCACUGCCUUUAAUGACCAUUUUGUCAAGCUCAUUUUCUAGUAUGACAAUGAAUAUGGGCAUGGCAAUAGGAAGGAUGGUGGGGCUCAUGUUCCACAUGGCCUCUGUGAAGUAAGAAACCUGGGGACUAUCUAUCCCAGCAAGAAUGUGAAAAAAUGGAGUCUUAGGCUGUUUGGGCAGAGAGAGGCAGAUCCCUGGAGUCCUCUAGCUAUCUAGCCUAAUCGAAUUAGCAAGCUAUAGCUCCCAGUGUGAGAACUUUUCUUGAAAGUUAGGCUAGAGAGCUCCUGAGAAAUGAUCCCCAAGGUUGACUUCUAAUCUCAACUCCAGUACCAGAGCAGGAAAUCAAGGCAGGGGUACUCACUGUAAUAUUGAUGUUCUUCAGUGACACUCAGAAAUAUCAGUUUCAACCAAUAUUGUUCUUCAUGAAACAUUGCUAACUCUUAAAUUAUUAACUCUCAGUUUUUUUUUUUUCUUUUUUCGGAGCUGGGGACCGAACCCAGAACUCUCAGUUUUGGAAGGGGAUUUGGAAGUUGUAUUGCGGAUGAAGCUCAGAGCUUAUGUAUACAGGGUGGCCCAGCAGGGAUCCCCUUGUGACUGAAGUCAGAGUUUGCACAGACUCCUAAGAGGUUUUCCGAUUUCUCACUGCCCUGGUGGUCAGAGGAGGGAAUUAAGCAAAGGAAAAUGACCAGCUGAGCUUUUUGGAAGUCCAAAGGAACAAUGGCACACGCUCUCUCGCAGUCCUGUUGUAGAGUCAGAUGGCCAGGGCAAGGACAGCAUCUGUGGAGAGAUCUCUGAUCUCAUUCCUCGAGAUGUCAGUGCAUUUGUUGUCCAGCGUGGCUCCAUCUCACAGACCUUGAUCUUGAAGGAUGCUCCAACCACCUCCUCGGGCGGGCCUGUGGACUGGACUCAGAAAAUCCGGCUGUGUUCUUGUUCCUGUCAAGUCCCAGAAUCCCUUAGGUCUGUUCUCUUAUUUAUAAAGUUAGAAGAAUGGCUGGGUGGGGGUGGGGGGUAUCUCUCAGGGCUCUUUUAGCUCCAAAUGGCUACGAUUCUAUUUAGACUCAUUUGAAGAGCAGACAAUGGACUCUAUUUUUUGGUGGCACUGGUGACUGCCUUUUUAUAUGCAAAUGUGAACUGUGAAUCCCAAAAGGGACUGUGGAAAUGAACUGCCCCUAGUGGAGGGUCAUGGACCUUGAUGGAUGGACAAUACCAGCAGGCAAAGUAGGGGGAAAACCCGAGAGGUCACGGAACCAAGUGGAAUUUCAAUGAAGGGGACGGCGAGUGAAUGAGGUAAACAGAACCUGAGUCAAGUUUAUUGAGUCCUCUAGCUAAGGGCAUGAUGGAAACCAGACUGCUUAGUUUCUCCAAGUGUAUGCCAAUAUGGCAAUAGGAAAAAUGAUUGGACGGUAAUAUAAAUUUUACAACAUUGGGAAAAACAGAGUUGAGUUGAUGCCUUAAGGCCAGUCAUCUGAGCGGUGCCUUUUCAGAGUGGACAAGGGCUCUUGGGAUAGUUUCAUGCUUUCAGGGGUAACCAAAAAAAAUUAGGUUAUAUGGUCAUUUGCUUGAGGUAUGUCCCCCAUACGCAGAGGCUUUAGACCCUUGAUCCCUGGUUGGGGAGGGACCCUUGCUGAUGGAAGUUUGUCAAGGGGUGCAGACUUGAGAGUUCGUAGCCUCACCCCACUUCCAGUUUGUUUUCCCUGCUUCCUGUGUCUCCAUGGACAUGCUAUCUAUCAGCUUCCGGUUCUGACUGUUUGCUCAUGAUGGACUCUGAUCAGCCUGGAACCGUACAUCAAACUGAGCACUUCUUUCUAUAAGUUGUCUGGUUUUGAUAUUUCUCCCAGCAAUAAAAAGUAAUUAAUACAGGUUACUACUUUUUAGUUCCUUCCUGAGCUGUAAAUGAUACGCAAAGCAAAAUAUCCUUACAGUGAAGCGAGACUAACACACACGCAGACACACACAUGCUUUACAAAAACGAUUGCUUUCUGUGUAUAGUCUAUUGUCUCAAUGAAGACAUAUAGGUUGUUCAUGCUGGUAGGGCCUUGAGAUCCUUACCUGGAGCUGCACAGGCAGACAUUAGCAGUGGAAUAGAUGCAUGUACACUAUUUUGCGGGAUGCAAACCAUUUGCUGCUUCUCUAAAGUAAUAGCAUUAACCCAAUUUGUCAAUGGAUCCAUUCCCUCAAUAGACGACAGUCCCUUAACCAGGCACGGUGGCACAUUCCUUCAAUCCAGACACUCUCAAGGCUAAAUUGGAAGGACCAAGGUUAAAACUUUGUUUGCUUGUGGUAGUGAUAACACAAACAACGCCAAAACCGUAAUAACUGAAUGAGUCUUCUUGUAGAAGAAUGAUUAAUUGCCAUUAUUGACUCUAUAUUAUAUAUCACCUCUGGGACUAUCUAGGAGUGUGUUUCAGGUUUAACUGCGUGUGAUGGCUAGUCUUGGCUGUACACUUGACAUACCUCAAUUGAAGGACUGCUUCUAUCAGGUUGCUCUUGAUGGUGAUGCUUAAAUGAUUCUUGAUGACAUGAAAGCCUACAGCAUUCUGGGCAGAACAGCUCCUGGCAGGUGGGUCUGGGGCAUAUAAGAAAGGUAGCUGGACAGUAGGUAGCAUUCAUCCAUUGGUUUCUUUUUUCAAGUUCUUGUCUUGAGUUCCUGCCCUGGCUUCCAUAAAUGAUAGGCUGUAACCUGUAAGCCAAACAAUGCUUUUUCUUCCCAAGCUGGCUUUGGUCAGCGUCUUAUCACAGUAACAGAUAGCAACCUAGGACAACUGUUGAUGGAAGAAUCCCUUUGAGUUUAUACCACAUCAUCCUAUGAGCAGGUAUCUCAGCCUGGAUAAAAAGACAAGAGCGAGACAAGGGCAAAGUGCUAGUACUCACCAGUUACAUCUUCCUUAAUGUGAUCAGCUAACUCAGGCUCCUGUCACCACACUGGUCGUGGAGGACUGUGUCCUUCAAACUGUGAGCUAAAACAAAUCUCCGAAGACAAGAAACUAAGCUUGAGGCAGUCAAAAGAACUGCUAAACAUUGGCAUUUUUUU
rnacentral:sRNA from 1 species